UACGGGAGGCAGCAGUGGGGAAUAUUGCACAAUGGGCGCAAGCCUGAUGCAGCCAUGCCGCGUGUAUGAAAAAGGCCUUCGGGUUGUAAAGUACUUUCAGUCGUGAGGAAGGUGUUAAGGUUAAUAACCUUAGCAAUUGACGUUAGCGACAGAAGAAGCACCGGCUAACUCCGUGCCAGCAGCCGCGGUAAUACGGAGGGUGCGAGCGUUAAUCGGAAUUACUGGGCGUAAAGGGCACGCAGGCGGUUAAUUAAGUUGGAUGUGAAAUCCCCGGGCUUAACCUGGGAAUGGCAUUCAAGACUGGUUAGCUAGAGUCUUGUAGAGGGGGUAGAAUUCCAUGUGUAGCGGUGAAAUGCGUAGAGAUGUGGAGGAAUACCGGUGGCGAAGGCGGCCCCUGGACAAAGACUGACGCUCAUGUGCGAAAGCGUGGGGAGCGAAACAGGGAUUUAGAUACC
rnacentral:rRNA from 1 species